rnacentral:rRNA from 1 species
AUUGAACGCUGGCGGCAUGCCUUACACAUGCAAGUCGAACGGCAGCACGGGUGCUUGCACCUGGUGGCGAGUGGCGAACGGGUGAGUAAUACAUCGGAACGUACCUUAUCGUGGUGGAUAACGCAGCGAAAGCUGUGCUAAUACCGCAUACGCCCUGAGGGGGAAAGCGGGGGAUCGCAAGGCCUCGCGCGAUUAGAGCGGCCGAUGCCUGAUUAGCUAGUUGGUGGGGUAAAAGCCCACCAAGGCGACGAUCAGUAGCUGGUCUGAGAGGACGAUCAGCCACACUGGGACUGAGACACGGCCCAGACUCCUACGGGAGGCAGCAGUGGGGAAUUUUGGACAAUGGGGGCAACCCUGAUCCAGCAAUGCCGCGUGAGUGAAGAAGGCCUUCGGGUUGUAAAGCUCUUUUGUCAGGGAAGAAACACCGGCUCUAACACAGUCCGGGAAUGACGGUACCUGAAGAAUAAGCACCGGCUAACUACGUGCCAGCAGCCGCCGUAA